AGAAUACUAUCUGUGCUAUUGUCAACUGACUCAGCCCGGUGUUACAACUUCAAUGGUCUGAAAGAGAAGCAGGGACUCAAGAACCACUCCUGUAUUUUACAAACAGUUCAGGAUGCUGCAAGAAAAAGUUAUCCUGAAGCAACAGAUGCUGACCUGCAGGUGUAUACAUCAAUUUGCUUAGCUGGUGCUCGGGAUCGAGAGAAUAGCAGAAGGGAAGGGGCUGAGCACAGCCUGUACAAGUCAGUAAAUUGUUAUGGGGUGGACGACGAGUAAAGCUGUACAACUUUACCUGCAGAAAAAAA